rnacentral:rRNA from 1 species
CCAGACUCUACGGGAGGCAGCAGUGGGGAAUCUUCCACAAUGGGCGAAAGCCUGAUGGAGCAACGCCGCGUGAGUGAAGAAGGUCUUCGGAUCGUAAGGCUCUGUUGCACGGGACGAAAACCGGGUUUGAGAAUAUUGAGCCCGGGUGACGGUACCGAGCGAGGAAGCCACGGCUAACUACGUGCCAGCAGCCGCGGUAAUACGUAGGUGGCGAGCGUUGUCCGGAAUUAUUGGGCGUAAAGGGAGCGCAGGCGGACAUAUAAGUCCAUCUUAAAAGUGCGGGGCUCAACCCCGUGAGGGGAUGGAAACUGUAUGCCUUGAGUGCAGGAGAGGAAAGCGGAAUUCCCAGUGUAGCGGUGAAAUGCGUAGAUAUUGGGAGGAACACCAGUGGCGAAGGCGGCUUUCUGGACUGUAACUGACGCUGAGGCUCGAAAGCCAGGGGAGCGAACGGGAUUAGAUACCCCGGUAGUCCUGGCCGUAAACGAUGAAUGCUAGGUGUAGGAGGUAUCGACCCCUCCUGUGCCGGAGUUAACGCAAUAAGCAUUCCGCCUGGGGAGUACGGUCGCAAGACUGAAACUCAAAGGAAUUGACGGGGGCCCGCACAAG